rnacentral:tRNA from 1 species
GCAUAUAUGGCCGAGUGGUCGAAGGCAGAGGCCUCAUAAGCCUCCUCCCGAAAGGGCAACGCGGGUUCAAAUCCCGCUGUAUGCA